UACAGAGGGUGCAAGCGUUGUUCGGAAUUAUUGGGCGUAAAGCGCGUGUAGGCGGCUUGGCAAGUCGGGUGUGAAAGCCCUCAGCUCAACUGAGGAAGUGCGCCCGAAACUGCUUUGCUUGAGUGCUGGAGAGGGUCGCGGAAUUCCCCAAGUAGAGGUGAAAUUCGUAGAUAUGGGGAGGAACAUCAGUGGCGAAGGCGGCCUUCUGGACCAGUACUGACGCUGAGGCACGAAAGCGUGGGGAGCAAACAGG
rnacentral:rRNA from 1 species